rnacentral:rRNA from 1 species
AUGUGGCUGCUUCAGGAGCUGAUGAAAGUGGCUGUGGAUGGCAUCGACGGCGGUGGACACCAGUGCAAGAGCGUUGGCCCCAACGGAGCACCCCAAGCCCGCAAUCACAAUGCUUCUAGGCCUUCUGCCAGCUAUCUCCUUGUGAAAUACUCCCUCCGUUUGGAAUUACUUGUCGUAGAAAUGGAUGUAUCUAGAUGUAUUUUAGUUCUAGAUACAUCCAUUUCCAAGACAAGUAAUUCCGAACAGAGGGAGUAUAUUACAUCAUAUAUAUGCACACAGUGUUUGAAUCCGACUUUGUUUACAACAGUGGCGUGCAGAAAUUUAAAUAUGAUACUGUCAAAUUUUCAGGAUUUUCUACAGUGUGUGUCCUGA